rnacentral:rRNA from 1 species
GAUGAACGCUGGCGGCGUGCCUAAUACAUGCAAGUCGAGCGAACGGACGAGAAGCUUGCUUCUCUGAUGUUAGCGGCGGACGGGUGAGUAACACGUGGAUAACCUACCUAUAAGACUGGGAUAACUUCGGGAAACCGGAGCUAAUACCGGAUAAUAUUUUGAACCGCAUGGUUCAAAAGUGAAAGACGGUCUUGCUGUCACUUAUAGAUGGAUCCGCGCUGCAUUAGCUAGUUGGUAAGGUAACGGCUUACCAAGGCAACGAUGCAUAGCCGACCUGAGAGGGUGAUCGGCCCAUCUGAAACUGAGACACGGUCCCGACUCCUACGGGAGGCAGCAGUAGGGAAUCUUCCGCAAUGGGCGAAAGCCUGACGGAGCAACGCCGCGUGAGUGAUGAAGGUCUACGGAUCGUAAAACCCUGUUAUCGGGGAAGAACAAAUGUGUAAGUAACUGUGCACAUCUGGACGGUACCUAAUCAGAAAGCCACGGCUAACUACUU